UUCCCAUCAAUGCUGGGCAACAUGCUUUCUUUGAGAAUGUCUUACCAUUAUUUCCUCCUUCCUCUCUUCCUCUUCCCAUUCUUUCCCCAACCUCUGUGGACCUGGUUGUUCGUAUUCAUUAAUGUUGUACAAGCACUUGGACAUUAAAUGAUAUAACUCAAGAUACCUGUUUUACAAAGUGAUACAGGUACACAAAAGAUAACAAAAUAUUUGUCACAUGCAAAAGGACAGAAGAUAACAAAUCUAGAUGUAAUGAUUUAAAGAUUUAUAGACUUUGGUUCCAUUUGUGGAGGAUCAGGCAAGAAAGGAAUUUUGUAGAAAAUAAGGGAAAUGAGUAUGUUUAAGGGAAGUGAAUGAAGAGGGUGAAAACAGAGGCAGAGUUACAUAACGGGGAGAACAAAAGGUAGAGAAUGUGGAGAAAGAUAGCAGAGAUAAAAUCAACCAUAUUAAGGUACUAUUUUCUUUCAUUUCUCUGAUACUCUGCCCCUGCUAAGCUUCCACCCAGCCUUCCUGUAACCACCUUCCUAAGGAUGACUAUAUUGAUCACAUUGUUACGACUCUCACCCUCUUAUCUUCCUUUCUUUUCAGGGGCAAUUCCAAAAGUCUUCAGAUUUCCAAAAUGAAGGACCGCAGCAGACAUUUCUGCCCCCAGAAAGGCAGGGAUAGAAACCACGGAGGCCACAGAAAUGAUGGGUGCCCUUGUGGCCAGUAGACAAUCACCUGAAGGAUAUGACUUCCAGAAGCCCAAGAUCUGUUUCUCAUCAACUGUUACAUUCCUCUGUUCAGAGACAAAGAUGUUGGUCACAAGCUUUCAUACAAACUAUGACUCACAGCCCUACCUCCAUCCCCUGCUUUGCUGCUUAGACCUCAGUUCUCCAAUGGUGUCUCAGUUGCACUGAUCUGGGAGAUAGGUAAGGAAAAGGGAACGUUUUUUAGAAUACUGUUUUUCCUUUUGGACUUCUUUUUUGUAUUAUUAUUAUUCAAAAAGCUUCAUUUUUAUUUAGCUUUCUGACUCUUUAACACUUUCAUGAUUUUCUGCUCUUUGAUAAGG
rnacentral:lncRNA from 1 species